rnacentral:rRNA from 1 species
ACUCAAAUGAAUUGACGGGGGCCCGCACAAGCGGCGGAGCGUGUGGUUUAAUUCGAUGCUACACGAAGAACCUUACCCAGUCUUGACAUGCGCGUGGUAGGGAAGGGAAACCGGACCGACCCGCAAGGGAGCGCGCACAGGUGCUGCAUGGCUGUCGUCAGCUCGUGCCGUGAGGUGUUAGGUUAAGUCCUGUAACGAGCGCAACCCGCGUCGUCAGUUACACGUGUCUGACGAGACUGCCGGUUUCAAGCCGGAGGAAGGUGCGGACGACGUCAAGUCAGCAUGGCCUUGAUGACUGGGGCUACACACACGCUACAAUGGGCAGCACAAUGGGACGCCAAGGGGUGACCUGGAGCCAAUCCCGUAAAGCUGUUCCCAGUUCGGAUUGCAGGCUGCAACCCGCCUGCAUGAAGUCGGAGUCGCUAGUAACCGCGCGUCAGCCAUAGUGCGGUGAAUACGUUCCCGGGCCUUGUACACACCGCCCGU